rnacentral:rRNA from 1 species
CCUACGGGGGGCAGCAGUGAGGAAUAUUGGUCAAUGGGCGCGAGCCUGAACCAGCCAAGUAGCGUGAAGGAUGACUGCCCUACGGGUUGUAAACUUCUUUUAUAAAGGAAUAAAGUGAGGCACGUGUGCCUUUUUGUAUGUACUUUAUGAAUAAGGAUCGGCUAACUCCGUGCCAGCAGCCGCGGUAAUACGGAGGAUCCGAGCGUUAUCCGGAUUUAUUGGGUUUAAAGGGAGCGUAGAUGGGUUGUUAAGUCAGUUGUGAAAGUUUGCGGCUCAACCGUAAAAUUGCAAUUGAUACUGGCAGCCUUGAGUACAGUUGAGGUAGGCGGAAUUCGUGGUGUAGCGGUGAAAUGCUUAGAUAUCACGAAGAACUCCGAUUGCGAAGGCAGCUUACUAAACUAUAACUGACACUGAAGCACGAAAGCGUGGGGAUCAAACAGGAUUAGAUACCCCUGUAGUC